UACGUAGGGUGCGAGCGUUGUCCGGAAUUACUGGGCGUAAAGAGCUCGUAGGUGGUUUGUCGCGUUGUCCGUGAAAACUCACAGCUCAACUGUGGGCGUGCGGGCGAUACGGGCAGACUGGAGUACUGCAGGGGAGACUGGAAUUCCUGGUGUAGCGGUGGAAUGCGCAGAUAUCGUAAGGAAGACCAGUGGCGAAGGCGGGUCUCUGGACAGUUCCUGACACUGAGGCACGAAGGCCAGGGGAGCAAACGGG
rnacentral:rRNA from 1 species